rnacentral:rRNA from 1 species
GACGAACGCUGGCGGCGUGCUUAACACAUGCAAGUCGAACGGAAAGGCCCCUUUUGGGGUACUCGAUUGGCGAACGGGUGGGUAACACGUGCGUAACCUGCCCUUGACUUCGUGAUAACUUCAGGCAACUGGGGCUAAUACCGGAUAGGAAUCCUUUCUGCCUGGUGGGGGUUGGAAAGCUUCUGCGGGUUUGGAUGGACUCGCGGCUUAUCAGCUUGUUGGUGGGGUAGUGGGUUACCAAGGCUUUGACGGGUAGCCGGCCUGGGAGGGCGACCGGCCAAAUUGGGACUGGGAUACGGCCCAGACUCCUAAGGGGGGCAGCAGGGGGGAAUAUUGGACAAUGGGCGGAAGCCUGAUGCAGCAACGCCGCGGGCGGGAUGACGGGCUUCGGGUUGGAAACCGCUUUCAGCAGGGGCGAAGCUUGUGGUGACGGUACCUGCAGAAGAAGCACCGGCUAACUACGUG